CAAUCCAUGAGUACAGUGGCGACCGGGUGAGUAACACGUGACUACCUACCCUUGAGUGGGGGAUAACCUCGGGAAACCGAGGCUAAUACCGCAUAAUAUCGAGAGAUCAAAGGAGCAAUUCGCUUUUGGAGGGGGUCGCGGCUGAUUAGUUAGUUGGCGGGGUAAUGGCCCACCAAGGCGAAGAUCGGUAUCCGGCCUGAGAGGGCGCACGGACACACUGGAACUGAAACACGGUCCAG
rnacentral:rRNA from 1 species